CUUGUCUCUAAAUACUCGUAUAGUCUCACAAUCAACUUGAGAGGCUGUAGCAACAGACGUUUCUAAUAUUCGCAUGCUCCGGUGGUCGCGGUUGGUAUUUACCAUGACAGAAACUAACCGCGACUGACAAUCAGAUUAAUGCGGUUUGUUUUUUCCCCAAGACCAAAGGAGCCGUGUAGAUUAGAAAAUUUGCUGUACGGAAUAAAAGUGAUCGCGGUGAACGUGAUCCUUUGUAUUAAAUUAACGGUUAUCUGCUCGAUUCCAGGUAUCGAGGGAUUUGUUGUGCACCUUGGAGUUCGAUUCACGCCAGAUCUUUCAAUUGUCAUUUGAUAUCAGUUUGUUGAGCAUGUGACAUCGAUUCCCUCGAAUUUGAUUACAAGGGUAUCGAGACGAAAAAUACGUUGAUGCGAUACGCGUAGAUUUAUAUAACGUAGAUAUACCGGAGAAGAGACUUUGUCCAGGUAAAAUGAUACAGCGUUAUCGAAUCCGCGGGCUCGUGAAAUUUGAUGAAACUCGGCCUGUCUAAUCAGUUGGAAAUUCGAACUGUAUCGCAUUUGGCUCUUCGCAUUAUCGUGGGUGGUAGUUUCGAGCGAAAACCACGUAUGAAGCAUUACGUAUAGAAGCGAACGCUGAAUAAACUAUUCGAAACUCUUGACCCUGUAUAAUGUUUGCGACUGUAGUUCUGUGAAUCGAUCAUGGAUUAAUUUUUCAGUACGUAUGCUAUACGUGGAAAAGAAAUGAUUGAAUGCGCGAAUGGCCACAGAUAAUUUUUCUGAUUGACGUCUACUGCAGAUAACUACGAAGGAUCAUAAUGGAAGGUAGGCACAACGAAAAUUUGUGACGCAAAACAAUUUCGUUUGAAACCAGUUGCGUAAAGCAAAUUGUAAGUCGUUUUCAGUCACAUUGGCACGUAUAAACUUCCUGCCUCUACAUGGAACUCCAGCCAUUAUAUGUUGGAAACAGACAAUACACAGAAGAACAAUAUACCAACUGGAUUCUAAUAGCGUUAAUACUCAUUAUAGUUGAUUCUU